AGCACGAGAUGCGGCCAGGGCCAGAGCGGCAGCGAGUGGCUGCAGCGCAGGCGCAGUAAGGGACUGAUUUGUUUCGAAAAAGCGAGGGAGCCAGGGGUUAGGAGGAAAGAAGACACAGGAGGAAAGAGAUCUAUCCAAGUCAAGGGGUGAGGUGCCAGUGCAGCCAAUGCGAGACAGUUUCCCUAAGACCCUACAAGGAGGAGCCAGAAGAAGCUUCUGCAGCGACUGGUACAAAUUUCAUCCCUGGUUAGAAUACUCACCAGUGUUUCCCCUACAUAAACUUUACUUGGGCGGCCCGCCCAAGUAGAUUGACACCCGCACAAGAAGAUGAAUUUAUAAAAAAAAACGCGCCGUCAUAAUUACUGGCACCGCGUAGGGAAAACAGUCCACCUGUCUGUCUCUCACUGGGUUGUCAGGCGCGCGCGUGUGUAUUCCGCCAGCCCGACCCACCUUGUUAAGCGCUCAUUAGCUCGACACCACCGGCAGAGUUGCACAGCCCUGCUUGUUCAAGUGUCUCAGAGGUAAGAUGAAGCCACAGUGGUCCAAGAGUGGCUGUCAUUCAAGGAGCAUGUGUCUUCAGGAGCAUUUAAGUACAAAAGCCAAGGAGCAAUCCUGGAACUGCUGGCCAGUGAGUACGAUGAAUGGGGUGACGUCUACCCCUGCCUGUCCCAACUUGCUGCUGCAGCCCUCAUCAUCCCAGUGGCAAGUGUAAAUUGUGAGAGAGAUUUCUCAGCAAUGAACAGGUUCAAAACUGAACUGAGGAACAGGCUGCAAGGGGAGCAUCUUGCUGCAUGCAUGCGCAUCAGCAUAAAUGGACCUGACCCCCAAUCCUUUCCAUACAGAAAGGCAUUGGAGAUCUUUUUUUCAAAACAGAGAAAAAUACACUGAUCUGACAAAAACUGUCAGCUUUGCAAGUAGCUAUAAAUAGCUUUUUUUCCUUUUUUUUCCUUUUUCUUUUGGGUUCUGUUUGUGUUAAAGCAAGUCUGCAGCAGGCUUAAGUUGUAUCUAUGUGCAAUAAAUUACACAUGGUUCAUAAACCAGUUUGACUAGAUUAUUUUGAAUGCACUUAUCAAACACCGCAAAGUCCCCCUCCACCGCCCGGCCCACCACCACAAGUAAAUCAACCUAGGGGAAGCACUGCUCACAAUCAAAAGAUGCAGCUUACUGUUUUGCAUGUUGGCGUUUUUCCCUUCCGGAUGCUCCAAAGACUGUUUUCACCUCUUUCGAGGGUUAUCGCAACUGGAAAAAGGCUACAAUGAAAGACAGUGGCUUCUGUUCUCAUGCCAGAUCUGAAGGACAUUUAAAUGCAAUGUUUGCAUGGACCGAGAACAAGAAAAUUCAGGAUAAAAAUACCUCAAUGUUUGGACUAAUGGAUGAGCAAAACAAGAAGCAGGUGGCUGAAAAUCAGUACGACAUUAGAACAUUAGCUGAAAUUUUAGUUCUAACAGCCCCAGAAAACAUAGCACUGUGGGGUCACAAGGAGUCUCUCAACUCCAAUAAAAAGGGUGUUUUUCUGUCUAUGUUAGACUUGCUGGGUAAGCAUAACCCCAUCAUUAAAAAAAGACUUCAACAACAAGCUAAAAAUGCACAUUAUACCAGUAAAACAAUACAGAAUGAAUUACCUGAGUGCUUGGCUGCAAUGGUCAAAGAGGAAAUCAUCCAGGAAGUUAAAACAAGCAAGCAGUUUUCAGUUAUUGUUGAUGAAACUUCAAACUAAAGAUGUUCAGAAAAAAGAACAAAUGUCAUUUGUUCUGAGAUAUUUUUACAACGGUGUGGUUCAUGAGAGCUUUCUGGAGUUCGAUGUGGCAGAACACUUGGAUGCUGCUGCCUUAAGUGACAAGAUUAUAUGCUUUCUUAAGAAGCAUUGGUUGGAGUACAAGCAAAACCUUGUAGGCCAGGGCUAUGAUGGUGCGGCAGUGAUGUGUGGGGCACAUGCAGGUGUUCAAGCAAAAAUAAAAGAAGUAGCUAAACAUGCCUUCUAUGUUCACUGUAGUGCACACUGCUUGAACUGAGUUAUAGUAGACACUGUAAAAAGUGUAGCAGAUGCAGGAAACUUAUUCUCAUUAUUAGAACGACUGUAUGUAUUCAUGUCUGGGUCAUAUGUGCAUAACAAAUGGCUGGAAGUGCAGCGGGAGAUGUUUGAUGGUGCACCAAGGGAGCUCCAACAGCUAAGUGAUACAUGUUGGGCCUGUAGGCACAUAGCAUGUCGCAAUGUUAUGGACAGGUUGCCUACAAUAGUACAGGUGCUUGAGGAGCUCGCGUCUGAGAACCAUCCACAAAGAGCUGUUGAAGCAAGAGGGAUAUUUGCUCAGAUUGAUCUGAAUUUUGAUGGAUCUCUUGUUCUGUUCAGGAAGGUCCUGAGUGACUCCAAAUUUUUAUCAGACAUGCUCCAGUCUAAAACAGUGGACUAUGCUCAGGCUGUUGAACUUAUUGAAGCACUUAAAGAGACACUAGUCCAGUACCGUAGUCAAGCCUCUUUUGAGGAAAUGUGGAGUGAAAUUCUUGAUUUGUAUCAACAAAGUAACAUCGAUACAACUCAAAGAAAACCAAAGAGGCCAAGACAGACAACAAAGGUGCUUCAGGAUACUGUCAUCCACUCCACCUUGGGACAGCAUGUAGUUUCAGAUAGCAAACACACUUUUUGAGUCUCUGUGUACUAUCCAGUUCUGGAUAACAUGUUUGGAGAAAUAGAAGAUUUUCUAACUUGAAUUGUAAAAUUAUGCAGGGUGUCCAGGCACUAAAUCCAUCAAGUCCAAGUUUUUUGAGAGAGGAAGCUGUUCUGUUACUGGCUGAAGCUUAUGAUUCAAAUAUUGAGGAUCUCAUGCAUGAGUUACAUCAGACCAGGAGAGUACUAGACAGAAAAAAGCUGGAAAAAGAGAGUCCUACCACUCUAAAGGAGUUCACUCAGUUUUUGGACCCAUACCAGGAUGUUUUUUGAGUUGUUCAGAUUGUGUAAAAUAGCGGUUGUUUUACCUGUGAGCAGUGCAUCCUGUGAGCAAAGUUUUUCAUCUCUCAGGCUCAUAAAGAAUUAUUUGCGGUCUCCUAUGACAGAAAAGAGACUAUCGAGUUUGGCUGUACUCAGCAUUGAAUUCAAAACGCACAAAAGCAUUAGAUCUAGAUACAUUUGUGAAGUGUUUUGCUGAGCAGCAUGGAAAUCGCCGCAUUCAGCUGUUACAGGCAUGCCAACUUCAUGUUAUGCUCACUGUUAAGCCUUUACAAAGGUGUUAAAUGGUGACCUCAACAGAAUCUGCACUAUUUUCUUUUUUCUGUAUUUAUAUCUUUGUUUUGCCAACUGAGAAAAUCUGAUAUCACCUUUAAUAAAACCUAGUGUAAAGUUUAAAAUGUGACACUAGUGUAAAUGGUGUAAAUCCUGCUGAACAGGAAGCAGUGUUGUUAUUAUUUUUAAUGUCUCUUUUGUAUAUGCAUUAUAAAACUGUACAGAAAGGCCCUGUGUGAACUGUAUGAAGUAAAUACAACAUCAAAAUAAUCACUAAACACCUCAUCUAUCAAAAAAAAAAUAUUUCAAACUACAGAGGGAGAAAUGGAGAGAAUGUGUGUUCAGUUAAGAGUAAAAGUGAUGUCCAGUACCUUGUUUGAGUGCCAGGACCCAUUUAUUUCCACACAGUGUAUUUAUACUCACCUUAGUACAGCUCAGUCCAUAGAUCUUCAUGUGUAAGUUUUUCUCUAAAUGGUUUUUUUCUUGUACAAAUUGUGCCUGCAAUGCUGCCACUCUGACACAGUCAAAAAGUGUUUGCUUUCUUUAAUGCCUUUCCUGUGAUAAUGCCCCACUUACAGUAGUGUUACCACACAUCUAUCUCCUAAUAAGUACUGUAUGAACUGUUUCACAUGAAACUUCAAGUGACAUUAAAUUUGUCUGUAUGAGUUUGUAAAUGGAAGCCUGUACCCAUAUAUAGUGUGUACAUACUAUUUCUCAUCAAACUAUUAAAUUCGGUGUGUGUAUAUAUAUAUAUAUAUAUAUAUAUAUAUAUAUAUAUAUAUACACACGCAUGUAAGCGUCUCUAAAGAUCAUGAAACCGAGUGUAACAGAACUUUUGCAAAGCCCGGUAAAGGCAUUUGAUUUGAGAUGCUGAUAUGAAUUUGGCUCCAAGACUUUUUGCAUCAAGGAAAGUCAUAGAAUGCAAUGUGUUCAGAAAAAUGCAACUUUGGCUUGAAAGGCUUGAGAACAAAAGAACAAACAACAGAGAGGACUGGGCUAAAUUAAAAAAAACAAAAAACUUUUAAAGUGGGCUUUUCAUGAGAACUGAAAUUGAAACUGGCUUCUUUUAUGAUGACUUAAAGAAACAAAUAACACAACUUGAAACUAGAGCUUUGGUUUCCUAUAUUUUACUUAAAAUUUGACUUCUUAAUUUAAAUAACUACAACAGCAUGAAUAUUCUCUUGAUAACUAUGAGCUUCGACUCUUAGUGUUUUUACUUCAGUACACUUUUGCAACACAAACCUGCCAAAGUUCCUCCUUUUCUCUGCGUUCCUGAACCAACUCAUCCAGCAGAUCAUCUCAGCUCCACAUCCUGCAGCCGCCUCCAUCUCUCUCCUAAAGGUUUUGCAAGUAUCACUUUCUUUCUUCUAAGCGGGUGAAUUCAUGAAUUACAAUUGGUUUUCCAAUUCGAGAAUGAUUAUAAAUUCGUCAGCUUUCUCCCAGCUGCUUCCAGUGAAAACACACUUCAUUAGUUUAUCUGUAUUCAUUUAUUUAUUCCCUGUCUGUUGUCUGUUGUUUGUUCAUAGUAUUAGUUUAUAAAUGUUUGUGCACAGUUGUCAUUGGUUCUACCGUGUAUUUCUCUGUUUAUUAACAGGAAGUCAGUGAAAUCAGAACUUAAGACUUUCAGAUAACAGACUGAUCAACUUCAUUUUUAUCAAAGUCUCUUUCUCAGGUAAGCUGAGAGAGGUGCCCCUAAAUAAAUGAGUGUAAUUUCAAUCAUAAAGUGUAGUUUCUACCAUUAGGUGUGUUACAGCCUACACUUUAAUCCUACAGUAUUGUUUGGUUCCCAUGUACGAAGCUAUUUCUGCAACAUUUUGUUAUAUUAGCAUUAAUCAAAAAAAAAAAAACAGUAAAAAUAUAAAAACAGAUUCUGAACAACAGCAAGGCUACACAGACAAAACUAGAUGGAUACAGAACAGUAAGUGCAUGUAUCUUACACUGUUAAUUUAUUGUUACAGUUUUUUCCAUUUACAUGCUUAAUGUGAUCACACAACUUAGUACUGUUAAUGCCAUGUCAUACUAUAGACACCCAAACCACUCAAAAUGCAUUUUACUGCUUCUUUUGCACUUACAGUUAUGAGCUGAACUGCUUUUGUCUUUAUACUUGGACUCUGUGUAUGUAUGUGUAUUUUCAUUAGCUGUGUAAUGAAAAUAAAGUUAAUUGGAGCUAGUUAA